CAAAACAGAUCCGACGGUCACCUCAUCCACCGCCAGAGGCGGGGGGAGAGGAGGAAAGUCCGAGCUCUCAAAGGCAGAGCGCUCCGUAACCCGGGGGUCCUUAAAGGAACGGAAAGUGCCACAGAAACUAGACUGCUCCCGCAUUCUGCGGGAGUAAAGGUGAAACAGUGGUGUAAGAGACCACUCUUUCAGAUGGAGACAUCUGAAGGGGCAAACCCCGCUCGAGAGCAAGACCAAAUAGGGAAGGAGAAGUCGCCUGCUUCGUUUUUACUUCCGGGUAGGUCGCUUGAGACAUCCGGCAACGGAUGCCCCAGAUGAAUGAUCGUCAACCUAACAGGUUAGGUUAACAGAACUCGGCUUAUGAUCUGUUUUGGCGU
rnacentral:RNase_P_RNA from 2 species